rnacentral:rRNA from 1 species
AGAUACCCUGGUAGUCCACGCCGUAAACGAUGUCGAUUUGGAGGUUGUGCCCUUGAGGCGUGGCUUCCGGAGCUAACGCGUUAAAUCGACCGCCUGGGGAGUACGGCCGCAAGGUUAAAACUCAAAUGAAUUGACGGGGGCCCGCACAAGCGGUGGAGCAUGUGGUUUAAUUCGAUGCAACGCGAAGAACCUUACCUGGUCUUGACAUCCACAGAACUUUCCAGAGAUGGAUUGGUGCCUUCGGGAACUGUGAGACAGGUGCUGCAUGGCUGUCGUCAGCUCGUGUUGUGAAAUGUUGGGUUAAGUCCCGCAACGAGCGCAACCCUUAUCCUUGUUGCCAGCGGUUAGGCCGGGAACUCAAAGGAGACUGCCAGUGAUAAACUGGAGGAAGGUGGGGAUGACGUCAAGUCAUCAUG